rnacentral:lncRNA from 1 species
AUUUAGAUGUCGCGAUAAAUCACUGGAUAGACUCUUUACUUAUGGUUUUCAGGUGUCUCUGUUGCAAUUGAAUUGUGGGGGGAUUGUGAAUUUGGGUUUUAUUUGUGGGGAGGAGAGGGAAAGGGGGAGGAAGAAGGAGACGACGGCGCAAGUGGAAGAUGAAUCUUAUGUGUCAACAAUUUUUUUUCUUAAAUUUAAAAUUAACAUGAUAUAUUACUUAUCGUGCCACGUAAGAUUGAAUACCGUUAGAUAAUUGACGUCGUUACGGAAAAGGAUUAACUUGAACUGAUUUUUCAAAAAAUGGAAUCAAUUGUUACGGACAAAAAAAAAGGUAGGACCAUUUUGAACACAACCCCCC